ensembl:lncRNA
GUUCAGUCAUGGAGAGAUGAGUCACUGACUGCCAUGUGAUGGUGGCAUGUUCACCUCUCAUGUUAGGUCUCAGCUGUGGUUACCUACAAAGGGUGGGUGCUGUCCAUGGGGUCGCUAAGAGUCAGACAGGACUGAGCAACUUCACUUUCACUUUCCGCUUUCAUGCAUUGGAGAAGGCAAUGGCAACCCACUCCAGUGUCCUUGCCUGGAGAAUCCCAGGGACGGUGGAGCCAGGUGGGCUGCUGUCUAUGGGGUCCCACAGAGUCGGACACGACUGAAGUGACUUAGCAGCAGCAGCAGCAGCAGGUUAAGGAAUUUCUCCCAUUUCUGUUUCUGAUACUCUUCUCAAGGUCACUAUCAGUAGGUUCCUGCCUUAUUAUGAUGCUUGCUGCUGUUCAGAGCAUCACCAAGGACACCCUGGAGGGCAUAAUGAAACAGCGGUCUAGGGCCUGAUCUAAUUUGGUGACUCACGCUUUCUCUUCUCUCUGUUACAGUGACUUGACCAAUUUUAAUUGAACAUUUUCGCAUGGGGCUUAUCAAAUGACCUCAACCUUUUAAAAUGCGUUGCUUGGUGGCAGCUCCUUUCUGGGAGUGGAUUUCUUCUGCUGGCUGAGAGAAACAGCUCCCCCACCUCCAGAAAGUCAUUUCACGCUCAGAGAUUUCCUGAUGUUGUGGAUGUCGGUGUUGGGCAAAACAGUCAAGGCGGGUGAAACAGGCAUAACAGGCAUGGAGGAAGGUCACCCCCGUGAGCAGAGAACAGUGAUGAGAGACUGCCGGCCAGAGCAACAGUGGCUGGGAAGGUUUGGAUGGGAAAGGAAAACCCAGCCCAACCUAGGGAUUGCAGACCGAGAAAUGAGGAGUGGUAGGUUACUAGUCAUCGCUGGGAUGGCUCAGCGGUCUGUCUGCCAAUGCAGGAGGUGCAUGUUGGAUCCCUGUUAGGGGAAGAUCCCCUGGAGGAGGACAGGGCAACCCACUCCAGUAGUCUUGCCUGGGAAAUCCCCAUGGACAGAGGAGCCUGGUGGGCUAUAGUCCACAGGGUCGCAAAGAGCUGGACAUGCCUGAGGGACUGAACAAGAGCAGCAGUGUCUUAAGAUGAGACCUCCUCUUCCUGUGAACAUGACACGGAGAAAGAGACACGUUUGACCCUAGUCCCACUCAGCGUCAACUUUCAGGCACGUCCGUGGGGCCUGUGGUCUACAGAGAGCAGAGCUGGAGAAAACAGUGAUCUAAGUUAGAAGAAAUGAGCUCAGUGCUGUGCUGGAAGAAGUGAUUCCUACGUUCACCAGGGUUACCAAGAGUAGUGAAGGACAGACAAGGGCCGGUGAAAGACGGUAAGACCAAAAGACCCAGAGGUUGAAAACCCAGCCCUCGGCUUGUGGAGGAGAAUGCAGACCUAUGUGGUCUGAGAUAUUCAUGGUUUAGAUGAGCGUUUGAUAUGGACUUCCCUGGUGGCACUAACUGGAAAGAACCCGUCUGCCACUGCAGGAGACGCAAGAGAAGGAUCUUCCCAACCCAGAGAUCAAACCUGGGUCUCUCCUGUGUUGCAGGCAGAUGCCUUACCAUUUCAGCUACAGGGAAGACCUUAGGAAGAGAAGCAUUCAAGAAAAAGCAAACAAGAGCCCGCCUCACGUCUAAUCCCAUUUCACGCAUCUGAGUAUCACAGAUAGGGCCUGAACUCGGACCUUGGGGUUUCUAUUUGUGACAUGUGUCUCAGAUUCGGAGACGCCCACUGAGGGAACCUGUUAUGACUUUUAAAAAAAAUCAAUUUAUUUAUUUUAAUUGAAGGCUAAUUCCAUUAUGAUAGUGUAGUGGUCUUCUGCUGCUUGUGUAACGGCACACGGAGAAUCAAAGGACCCCUCCAGACACUGUGUAGUUUCUGUGUUGUGGUUUCUCAGAACAAGGGCAGUUUUUCUUCGGAAGAGGUUUUCGGAUGUUGACUGCUGUGGAUGAGACCGAGAGCCCCUUCGGCCUUGGCCUGCUUGGUGGGGAGAACGUGCAGAGCGGCAGGACUUUGUGCCUAGCCUGGGCAGAAAGGAGAAGGGCAGUCAGUGGCUGUCCCAGGGUCCCGCUUAAGGGGCCUGCCUCAGCACAGCCCUGGGGGAUCUGUGCGCUUCAGCCUGAGUGGAUCGCAGGGCGUCCUGAGCCCGGUGCUUUCGCAGGCACCAGGCCUGCUUCCUGGUUUCCUGUAGACUUUGUCUCUCGUCCGGGGAACCCCGGAGCAUCUAGCUGCUUGCUGCCCUUCCUGGUGGAAGUCCUAAUUAAGUCAGACUCAUAAAGAAAGCUGAGCACUGAAGAAUGGAUGCUUUUGUACUGUGGUGUUGGAGAAGACGUUUGACAGUCCCUUGGACUGCAAGGAGAUUCAACCAGUCUAUCCUAAAGGAAAUCAGUCCUGAAUGUUCACUGGAAGGACUGAUGCUGAAGCUGAAGCUCCAAUCCUUUGGCCACCUGAUUUGAAGAGCUGACUCACUGGAAAAGACCCUGACGCUGGGAAAGAUUGAAGGCAGGAGGAGAAGGGGACGACAGAGGAUGAAAUGGCUGGAUGGCAUCACCGACUUGAUGGACAUGACUUUGAGUAAGCUCUGGGAGAUGGUGAUGGACAGGGAGGCCUGGCGUGCUGCAGUCCAUGGGGUCGCAAAGAGUUGGACACAACUGAGCGACUGAACUGAACUGAACAUGCCUGAGGCAGGAGUUGUUCCCUCCCUCGUGGAGUCCGGGGCUAAGUGUCUCUCGGGGAGACAGUUGAACAUGAGGAGGAAUGGCACUCGGGGGAAGACCCACUGGCAGGACAGGGAUGGGCUGAUCGAGAUGCUGGCUGAAGUCUUUUCCUCAGGUGCCUAUCUGAGUCACAGUACUGUGUUCAUUUCCACAUAAAAUAUAGCUGUGGUCGGAUAGUGCUUCUUGCAGCGUUAAUUAGCCAACUGUCCUCUUAGAAUGCAAACAUCGAGAAGCAGCAUCGUUGGUACAUGCUGCUGGCAUGUCUGAAAAUGUUAGUGAGGAGGAAGGAGUAGGUGAAUGAAGUAACUGCCGCCGUCUUUGGUAAUUUAGCUGAUGUGUGUGUUAGUCGAUCAGUCGUGUCUGACUCUUUGUGACCCCACGGACUGUAGCCCACCAGGCUCCUCUGCCCGUGGGAUUUUCCAGGCAUGGAUACUGGAGCGGCUGGCCAUUCCUUUCUCCAGGGGAAUCUUCCUGACCCAGGGAUUGGACCCAGGUCUCCUGCACUGCAGCAGGAUUCUGUACCAUCUGAGCCACCAGGAAAGCUGAUAAUUUAUCUGAUAAACAUUCAUUGACAUUGGACUUAAAAUGUCACAUGUUGUUUAAGGACAUUUUGGAAA